rnacentral:rRNA from 1 species
AUGCGCCAAGUACAAGAGCUUCUCGACAAAGGUUAUAUACGCGAAUCCCUUAGUCCUUGUGCUGUUCCUAUUAUUCUAGUGCCGAAAAAGGAUGGUACAUCACGUAUGUGUGUUGAUUGUAGAGGCAUUAAUAAUAUUACUAUUCGUUAUCGUCAUCCUAUUCCUAGGCUAGAUGAUAUGCUUGAUGAAUUGAGUGGCUCUACAAUAUUCUCCAAAGUUGAUUUGCGUAGUGGCUACCAUCAAAUUCGUAUGAAAUUGGGAGAUGAAUGGAAAACAGCAUUUAAAACUAAGUUUGGAUUAUAUGAGUGGUUAGUCAUGCCUUUUGGGUUAACUAAUGCACCUAGUACUUUCAUGAGAUUAAUGAACGAAGUUUUACGUGCUUUCAUUGGACGAUUUGUGGUAGUUUACUUUGAUGACAUACUGAUUUAUAGCAGAUCUUUAGAAGAACAUUUGGAACAUUUACGUGCUGUUUUUAUUGCUCUACGUGAUGCACGUUUGUUUGGUAACCUUGGGAAGUGCACCUUUUGCACCGACCGAGUAUCUUUUCUUGGCUAUGUUGUUACUCCACAAGGAAUUGAAGUUGACAAAGCCAAGAUUGAAGCUAUUGAGAGUUGGCCGCAGCCCAAAACGGUCACACAAGUGAGGAGUUUUCUUGGCCUCGCUGGAUUCUAUAGGCGUUUUGUGAGAGAUUUCAGCACCAUUGCUGCACCUCUCAACGAGCUUACAAAGAAGGAUGUGCCUUUUGUUUGGGGUACCGCACAGGAAGAAGCCUUCACGGUAUUGAAAGAUAAGUUGACACAUGCUCCUUUACUCCAACUUCCUGAUUUUAAUAAGACUUUUGAGCUUGAAUGUGAUGCUAGUGGAAUUGGAUUAGGAGGUGUGUUAUUACAAGAUGGCAAACCUGUUGCAAACUUUUCUGAAAAAUUGAGUGGGCCUAGUCUGAAUUAUUCUACUUAUGAUAAAGAAUUAUAUGCUCUUGUUCGGACUUUAGAAACAUGGCAACAUUAUUUAUGGCCCAAAGAAUUUGUUAUACAUUCUGAUCAUGAAUCUUUGAAACAUAUUAAAAGUCAAGCUAAACUGAAUCGUAGACAUGCUAAAUGGGUUGAAUUCAUUGAGACUUUCCCUUAUGUCAUUAAACACAAGAAGGGAAAAGAAAAUGUUAUUGCUGAUGCAUUGUCUCGUCGCUAUACUAUGCUUUCACAACUUGACUUCAAAAUAUUUGGUUUGGAGACCAUCAAAGAUCAAUAUGUGCAUGAUGCUGAUUUUAAAGAUGUAAUGCAGAAUUGUAAAGAAGGAAGAAUGUGGAACAAGUUUGUCGUUAACGAUGGAUUUGUGUUUCGUUCUAACAAGCUAUGCAUUCCAGCUAGCUCCGUUCGUCUUUUGUUGUUGCAGGAGGCGCAUGGAGGAGGAUUAAUGGGACACUUUGGCGUGAAGAAGACGGAGGACGUACUUGCUACACAUUUCUUUUGGCCAAAGAUGAGACGGGAUGUUGAGCGUUUUAUUGCUCGCUGCACUACAUGUCAAAAAGCUAAGUCACGACUCAAUCCUCAUGGUUUAUAUAUGCCUUUGCCUGUACCUAGUGUUCCUUGGGAGGAUAUAUCUAUGGACUUUGUUUUAGGUUUACCUCGAACAAAGAAGGGGAGGGAUAGCAUAUUUGUUGUCGUGGAUAGAUUCUCGAAAAUGGCACACUUUAUACCAUGUCAUAAAAGUGAUGAUGCUGUUAAUGUUGCUGAUUUGUUCUUUCGUGAAAUUAUUCGCUUGCAUGGUGUGCCAAAUACUAUUGUUUCAGAUCGUGAUACUAAAUUUCUUAGCCACGUUUGGAGAUGUUUAUGGGCUAAGUUGGGGACUAAACUGCUUUUUAGUACUACUUGUCACCCCCAAACUGAUGGACAAACUGAAGUAGUCAAUAGAACGUUGUCUACUAUGCUUAGGGCUGUUUUGAAGAAUAAUAAGAAAAUGUGGGAGGAAUGCUUGCCUCAUAUUGAAUUUGCUUAUAAUCGUUCAUUGCAUUCUACUACUAAGAUGUGCCCUUUUGAAGUUGUGUAUGGUUUCCUACCUCGUGCACCUAUUGAUUUGUUGCCUCUUCCAUCUUCGGAGAAGGUUAAUUUUGAUGCUAAACAACGUGCUGAAUUGAUUUUAAAAAUGCAUGAGUUAACUAAGGAAAACAUUGAGCGUAUGAAUGCUAAAUAUAAACUUGCUGGAGAUAAGGGUAGAAAACAUGUUGUGUUUGCACCUGGAGAUCUUGUUUGGUUACAUUUGCGUAAGGAUAGAUUUCCUGAUUUGCGCAAAUCAAAGUUAAUGCCACGUGCUGCUGGUCCCUUUAAGGUGUUAGAGAAAAUAAAUGAUAAUGCAUAUAAACUUGAGCUGCCUGCAGAUUUUGGGGUUAGUCCCACUUUUAACAUUGCAGAUUUGAAGCCUUAUUUGGGUGAGGAAGAU